AGUGGGAUAGCUGGUUCAAAUGGUGGUUUCAUGCCAAGUUUUCUGAGGAAUGUCCACACUGCUUUCCAAAGAGGUCCCACCAAUUUGCAGUUUCACCAGCAAU
rnacentral:pre_miRNA from 1 species